GGGUGAGGGCUGGGGGAAGCUGCUAAGAUCAUGGAUUUGCUUGGAGGCCCCAAUCUCACCUGCUGGGGCCGCCUCCGAGGCGUCAGGGGGCUGCAGGGUCAUGGAGGAGGCGCUGCCCUCUCGCGAUAGGAGAUAGACAUUGCGCCGUGGGGACGCCGCUGCCUCCAUGCAGGUGCCGCUCCUACAGGCUUCCCUCCAGCUGGCCCUUCCUGCCAGGCCCUGGGACCACAGGUGAAUGGAUAAACGAGCUGGGGUGUAUCCAGACGAUGAAAUAUUAUUCACCAACAAAAAGAAGCAUGCCAUCACACCAUGAGAAGGCAUGGAGGGACCCUCAAAGAAUACUGCUAGCUGGAAGAUGCCAGCCUGGAAAGGCUAUGCCCUGCAGGAUUCCAAUUAUGUGACAUGCUGGAAAAGGCAAAAUGAAGGAGACAGUAAGAGGAUUGAUGGUUGCCAGGGCUGGGAUCAACGGAGCACAGGGCGUUUUUAAGGCAGUGACGCUGCUCUGGGCAAUACUGUAAUGGUGGAUCCACGACACUGUACAUUUGUCCAAACCCAUAGAACCUAUAACACUAAGAGUGGCCCCCAAUGUAAGGUAUGAACUUCGCUUAAGAACACAUCAACGUUGGUACAGUUACAACAAAUGCACCUCACCAGUGCAAGGUGUUAAUCAUAGGGAAGACGGGAUGGGAGCACAUCGGAACUCUCUGUGUCUUAUCUAGAAACCAA
rnacentral:lncRNA from 1 species